rnacentral:rRNA from 1 species
GAUGAACGCUGGCGGCGUGCCCAAUACAUGCAAGUCGAGCGAACAGACGAGGAGCUUGCUCCUCUGACGUUAGCGGCGGACGGGUGAGUAACACGUGGAUAACCUACCUAUAAGACUGGGAUAACUUCGGGAAACCGGAGCUAAUACCGGAUAAUAUAUUGAACCGCAUGGUUCAAUAGUGAAAGACGGUUUUGCUGUCACUUAUAGAUGGAUCCGCGCCGCAUUAGCUAGUUGGUAAGGUAACGGCUUACCAAGGCAACGAUGCGUAGCCGACCUGAGAGGGUGAUCGGCCACACUGGAACUGAGACACGGUCCAGACUCCUACGGGAGGCAGCAGUAGGGAAUCUUCCGCAAUGGGCGAAAGCCUGACGGAGCAACGCCGCGUGAGUGAUGAAGGUCUGCGGAUCGUAAAACUCUGUUAUUAGGGAAGAACAAAUGUGUAAGUAACUAUGCACGUCUUGACGGUACCUAAUCAGAAAGCCACGGCUAACUACGU